CCCAGGCUGCUCUCGGCUGGCGCGCCGCACCCGACAAGGCGGCGGCGGCGGCGGCGGCGGCAGUGGUGGCGGUGGUGGCGGCGGC
rnacentral:miRNA from 1 species